CUAAUUUUACAAAACCUAAAUGCCUAUACGUUCAGAAAGGGAAAAAAGAGAGAAAGGGGAACAGAGAGGGAGCAAAGGGGAAACGAGAAAUUGAUGAAAGGGAGAAGAGGGAUCAGGGAAGCCAGAGGAGAGGGUGACAACGGAAGGUGUCAUUACCAUCGCUGGCAUUGAAAUCGGAGGGGAAGCACCACGAAGAACAGAGAGACGCGCAUGAUAGAGGGAGAAGGUAGUGUCGCUACCGUGCCUGGUGAUCGUUGCGGAAGCUUCGAUCGCUAUUGUCCCUGCUAGGGUUACCACUGACGCCGAACAGAACAGGGGAGAGGAGCGCAAAUUGGAAGAGGAAAGGGAGCUCUGUUGCGGGCUCGUUGCCAAGAAAAGAAGAGGCGAUGCUGGUGGGGAUCGCCGCCGGUGUCGUCGCCGUCACUAUGGUUCGUGGUCACCACUGCCGUUGGUGACGGACUAGGUUGCGUCCUAGCUACCGGAGCCACCAUCACCAUGACCUUGUUGCUUCGAGUCAACCAUGUCUCUACCUCUGAUGUACCUUGUCGUGCCAUAUCCGUUGGAACUGCCGUGGUUGGAGCUUGUUAUUAGAGAAAGCAAUUUGCUGCCACCAUCUUUCAGUCUAUCCAGCAUCAUCAUCCUCUUUGUUCCAGUUCCAAUGCCAAUUUUCUGUUUCUUAAGCCAUUGUCAAUUUAUCUCCUGAGCAAUCACAAUUGGUGUUGAGGUCGUUGAUGUUGCUGCUGUUAUGCUAUAGCUAGUCACAAGAGUUUUACUGCUGCGGGAUUACGUUGAAAUUGUCGCUGCUGCUGUGAAUUCAAAAUAAGCGGGCUUAUAGUGGUUAAUUUGUGCGAGUUCAGCUAAUCGAGGUAGGGGGUUUAACUUAAACGAUUUUAAUUUAAGAAUGCCUACAAGGUUUAUUGAAUAACUGCAAAUAGAUUUAAUAACUUUGAGUAAUUGAUUGAUUAUAUGAAUGUUUAGUUUUGGCUGAAAUUAUGAUUGGAAUGAUUGAGAUUUUUUUAUUGGAACUUUGGUUGAAUUCGUUAAUUAUGUGAAAUUGAAUUAUAAAGUGUUUGAUGGGAGAUUAUUGUGAUUUAUGUAUUUUGAUUGAUUAAAUUGAAAUUAUUGCUGUUGAGUUGGUUUACUGUGAUGGACUUAGUUAGUGAUUAAUUGAAGUUGUGUUUAAGGAAUAAUUGGAAGACUGAAUUUUGAAAUGCUGAACUAAUUGCUGAAAAUCUGACUUUUGAAUUUAAAAGACAACUUUGGAAGUGAAUCAAUUAUUCAAUAAUGAUUGAAAUGAUAUGAGAGUAAAGGCUGAGUAAACUAUGAUAAAAGUUGUUAUUGGAAUUCAAUUUUGAGAAGUUUGAAUUAACAAUAGAACUAGUUAUGAUUUUUCAUAGUUAAAAUGUAAAACUUGAUUCUCUGUAUUACUUUCAAAUGAAGUCGGAAACUUUGAAAAUCUAUAACUAAUUCUAUGAUGAUCGGAAUUGCGUGGGACUAAGUCUGGAUUAAGCUUGGGGAUGUAGGGAGCUGGACUGGUGAAUUUGUGACUUUUUCAUUAAGUUUAUGAUUUAUGGUAAAUUUUUGAAUUAUGGAUGUCAAAUCUGGUUUUUCUGUAGAACGUUUAACAGAGCAGCAACCUGUUUCUU